UUGGAGAGGUGCACCCUGGGAUCUGUCCAGGAUCAGAAACUCUUGGAGCCAGCCCAGCCAGAGGUACUGCCCAAGGACUUGUUCUCCAAAGCUUCCAGUCAUGAAAGUGCUCAGCCCAAGCUCCCAGGGGCAACAGUUCUUGGUGUGAGGAACAUGGACUUGCCCUUCCCUCUGCACCAGCUUGACCUGGCCAGUUCCUUGUGGCUAACAGAGUGGACAUCUGUCACUGUCUGCCUGGGGCAGGGUGAAGACCAGGAGAUGUCUGAGAAAGUCUCCCUGGAGCUGGAAAGUGGCAUUACUGAAACAUUCCAGAAACGAGCUGAAGUCACUCAAGGAAGGCCUUGGGAACUAGGGUUUGGCCCGGUGGGCAGCGCAUGGUAGACAUUCACACGCGCUCCAGCACUGAACACUGCGACCUGGCAGAGAUUUUGUGCUUGUCCUCUGCAAAUGAAUUCAUCCUGUCCUCACAAUGGCUGGUGUGGAGACCCACAGGCUUGCACCAGGGAAGAGUCCUUGAACCCAGCUGGGCUCUCCAACAACGUGCCUGCUGCAGCUGCAGUGGAAGCUGAUAAUUGCUCAGAAAGCUCAGACACAGAGUCCUCUGGGACUUCAUCCUUAGGACGGACCUUCAGGCACCCAGGCUGCCUACUGACCUCCCUGGCAUGGGUGGGAACCGGGAGCUCGUUGGUAAGCAGGAGGAUUCAGGACUAUCGACUGAACCCCACCUCCUCUGUGGCACGCACCGUGCUGUGUCUUUGCAGUCAUCAUCUCAUCACCUCUGCACAGGAAGAUUAUCUCCCCCAUUUUGUGAUGAGGAAAUGGAGGCUCCAGGUGGAAAGAUGCAACCUGGGCCAGAGGCCCCUGGAGGUUGUGCCUGAACCCAGACAGAUCACACAAACCUGAGCAGCCAUUAGCCGCUGUGUGGGCUCCUUUGCACUGUGGGGCUGCUCCUGGGGAUAUUUACGUUGUGAACUGGUAAAAUCUGAACUGCAGAAUAUCAAUUUCCAGACAUUCUUCCUAGAUGAUGCCGUCUGCCACGGGGACCUCUAUCACCCAAAGGGAAACAGCCGUCUAUCUACGAAGCUGUGAUCUCCCCUACAAGCAAGAGAACUCAAUUGCCAGGAGGUCUUUGCUUUUUCUGGCUUCCAGAGAAUGCAGAAAUUUCAAGGAGCCACUAUUGGGCUCCUUCCCUAUAGGAUGUUGGGCCAGGCAACAGAACAAACCUCCUGAGGCACUUCUACCUGGGAAUGCCCUCCUGAGGCCAAUGGCAGCCCUCUGAUGAAGAUACUAUAGUAUUUAUUUUUUGUACACGCUGGUGAUCAUCCAGUGUACAUCUCUGCUUAGUGAACCUUCAUGAACUGGAGGCUGAAUAUUCUCAUCCUGCAUUGAUAGAACCACGUAGGCUGGUUCUAGGCUGUUUUCUGUGCAACACUCAACAUGACAAUAAUAAUGAUGAUGAUGCUAAUGAUGAUUGUAAAA
rnacentral:lncRNA from 1 species